rnacentral:rRNA from 1 species
AACGAACGCUGGCGGCAUGCCUAACACAUGCAAGUCGAACGAGACCUUCGGGUCUAGUGGCGCACGGGUGCGUAACGCGUGGGAACCUGCCCUUAGGUUCGGAAUAACUCCCCGAAAGGGGUGCUAAUACCGGAUAAUGUCUUCGGACCAAAGAUUUAUCGCCUUUGGAUGGGCCCGCGUUGGAUUAGCUGGUUGGUAGGGUAAAAGCCUACCAAGGCGACGAUCCAUAGCUGGUCUGAGAGGAUGAUCAGCCACACUGGGACUGCGACACGGCCCAGACUCCUACGGAAGGCAGCAGUGGGGAAUAUUAGACAAUGAGCGAAAGCCUGAUCCAGCAAUGCCGCGUGAGUGAUGAAGGCCGUAGUGUUGUAAAGCUCUUUUACCCGAGAUGAUAAUGACAGUACCGGGAGAAUAAGCUCCGGCUAACUCCGUG